rnacentral:rRNA from 1 species
GACGAACGCUGGCGGCGUGCUUAACACAUGCAAGUCGAGCGGAGCGGCGAACGGGUGAGUAACGCGUGAGUAACUGCCCCCCUCUCUGGGAUAACAGUUGGAAACGGCUGCUAAUACCGGAACGUGGGGGAUGACUGGCGUCCUCUAAGCUUGUUGGUGUGGUAGUGGCCUACCAAGGCGACGACGGGUGGCCGGCCUGGGGUGGCGACGGGCCACGUUAGGCUGAGAUCCAGCCCGAACUCCGACGGGAGGCAGCAGUGAGUAAUACUGCACAAUGGGUGAAACCCUGAUGCAGCGACGCCGAGGGCGGGAUGACGGCCUGCGGCUUGUAAUCCGCAUUCAGCCAUGCCGCGGUAGUGGCAGAAGAAGCACCGGCUAACUACGUGCCAGCAGCCGCGGUAAUUC